rnacentral:rRNA from 1 species
AUUGAACGCUGGCGGCAGGCCUAACACAUGCAAGUCGAGCGGAUGAAGGGAGCUUGCUCCUGGAUUCAGCGGCGGACGGGUGAGUAAUGCCUAGGAAUCUGCCUGGUAGUGGGGGAUAACGUCCGGAAACGGGCGCUAAUACCGCAUACGUCCUGAGGGAGAAAGUGGGGGAUCUUCGGACCUCACGCUCUCAGAUGAGCCUAGGUCGGAUUAGCUAGUUGGUGGGGUAAAGGCCUACCAAGGCGACGAUCCGUAACUGGUCUGAGAGGAUGAUCAGUCACACUGGAAGUGAGACACGGUCCAGACUCCUACGGGAGGCAGCAGUGGGGAAUAUUGGACAAUGGGCGAAAGCCUGAUCCAGCCAUGCCGCGUGUGUGAAGAAGGUCUUCGGAUUGUAAAGCACUUUAAGUUGGGAGGAAGGGCAGUAAGUUAAUACCUUGCUGUUUUGACGUUACCAACAGAAUAAGCACCGGCUAACUUCGUG